CAUUGUACUCAUGAACUGACAUAUUGAAUCGAAACCCCUUCGUACAACUUCUUAAAGAUAAUAAUAAGGUAAGUGUUGGCUCACGCCUGUAAUCCU